rnacentral:rRNA from 1 species
UUCCUCUGGCAUGGACGCAAGGACGCGAGCAGCGGCCACUGCCUCGUCAAUUGGCGCCGUGUCUGCCGCCCCAUUACCCUGGGUGGCCUUGGCAUCCCGGACCUCUACCUUGGGGGCAUCUCCUUGCGCACCCGUUGGCUGUGGCUCCAGAGGACGGAUCCUUCGCGCCCAUGGCAA